UCCAUUCUGGAUUCGAAACAAAUCAAGCAGUUCGACUUCGAACUUCGAUACAGAAGAAUCGAUGUGGCUCUGUGAAGAGCAGAGAUGGCUUCGCGAAGAAUCUCGAUGGAACUCCGAGCGCGAAUCUCUUAUCCGAGAAAUUUCGUCCUUAAAGCCCUGAAUUCAGGAAUUGGAGACUCGUGGCUCAUUGCAAGGUCCCACCGCUGCGGAAGCGAUGGUAAAUAUCUCCUCGCUGUUGUAGGUGUUGAAGAAAAAGGUCGAUUUGAGAAAUAAAACCUGAAUAGCAGAGAGAGGGAUUACUUUUUUGCUGGCUCAUUGUUGAUUCUCAAUACAAGUACAGUUUCUUUAGUGUGUAUUUUGUUUUUACACUAUAGUGAAGCAUCUUCCUCCAGCAA